CCUACGGGAGGCAGCAGUGAGGAAUAUUGGUCAAUGGACGAGAGUCUGAACCAGCCAAGUAGCGUGAAGGAUGACUGCCCUAUGGGUUGUAAACUUCUUUUAUAUGGGAAUAAAACGUUCCACGUGUGGGAUUUUGUAUGUACCAUAUGAAUAAGGAUCGGCUAACUCCGUGCCAGCAGCCGCGGUAAUACGGAGGAUCCGAGCGUUAUCCGGAUGUAUUGGGUUUAAAGGGAGCGUAGGUGGAUUGUUAAGUCAGUUGUGAAAGUUUGCGGCUCAACCGUAAAAUUGCAGUUGAAACUGGCAGUCUUGAGUACAGUAGAGGUGGGCGGAAUUCGUGGUGUAGCGGUGAAAUGCUUAGAUAUCACGAAGAACUCCGAUUGCGAAGGCAGCUCACUGGACUGCAACUGACACUGAGGCUCGAAAGUGUGGGUAUCAAACAGGAUUAGAUACCCGAGUAGUC
rnacentral:rRNA from 1 species